rnacentral:rRNA from 1 species
CCUACGGGAGGCAGCAGUGAGGAAUAUUGGUCAAUGGACGAGAGUCUGAACCAGCCAAGUAGCGUGAAGGAUGACUGCCCUCUGGGUUGUAAACUUCUUUUAUAUGGGAAUAAAAUGUUCCACGUGUGGGAUUUUGUAUGUACCAUAUGAAUAAGGAUCGGCUAACUCCGUGCCAGCAGCCGAGGUAAUACGGAGGAUACGAGCGUUAUCCGGAUUUAUUGGGUUUAAAGGGAGCGUAGGUGGAUUGUUAAGUCAGUUGUGAAAGUUUGGGGCUCAACCGGAAAAUUGCAGUUGAAACUGGCAGGCUUGAGUACAGUAGAGGUGGGCGGAAUUCGUGGUGUAGCGGUGAAAUGCGUAGAUAUCACGAAGAACUCCGAUUGCGAAGGCAGCUCACUGGACUGCAACUGACGCUGAGGCUCGAAAGUGUGGGUAUCAAACAGGAUUAGAUACCCGAGUAGUC